ACCCACUUAACGAUUAGGGCUCCAAGUUUCAGUUCUAACUCGACUCUAUAUAUGUAUCAAAUGAGGGAAUUAUGGCCGAUGCAUUCUAGUCUGUUCCAUACUAUUUACUGAAUCACUGAUUGGCUGUUGUUAGGAGAAGCUCGAGCAUUCGUCAUCCAAGAUGAGAGCCAAGUGGAAGAAGAAGCGCAUGAGGAGAUUGAAGAGGAAGCGCCGAAAGAUGAGACAAAGAUCUAAGUAGGUGCUUGAGCUACAACAAGACGAGGCUCUCCCUCUUUGAUGCUCUGCCAGCUUCAUCAUUACCUUUCAGGCAAUGGCCUGGUGAUUUUGAGGCGUGGGUCUUGGGGUUAGAGACCUCUUUAUAGUUUGGUUUUAUUAUUGUUGGACUGGGUUAGUGUUAUGUUGCGUGUGGUUUACUGAAACAUGUACUGGUUUUGCUAUACAUCUUAAGUGAAUGGCAUAUCGUUUAACCGUA